UAAAAGAAAAUUGAAUUGUAAAGGAAGAAAGGAAAGGAGAAUUUUCUAUGAACGCAAAAAUUGUUGAAAAUUGGAGGGUUGGGAAAUGGAUUCACACCUUAAUUAAUGAUUAAUUAAAAUUCUACAAAAAAAAAAUAAUGAAAAUGGUAAGAACCCUCGUAUAGUGCGCUUCUCGAUUCUUCCACAGAGCUCAAUUGUUGAUACCAACCAAAAACUUUUCCUUUUUCAGUUUUAUAAAGUCCUUCUCCUUUCUUCCCAAAAGUCUAAGCUUUUUCCUUCUCGUCUUCCUCAAUAAUUAAGGGCCAUUUUCUUCCUCGUUCUCUCAAAUAAUUUUUUUUUACAUUGUCCCUUUGAUUUUUCUUGUUUAACUAAUUUAUCUCUUGAAUUUUUCAUAUAGCUUCAAUCUAACAUAGUUGGUUGCUUGUUUUCCGAGAUUCAACCAUGUCUCAUAUCCUCUCUUUUUUCCUUUCUAAUUUGUCUGAUUAAUACAUAAUUUAUAGCUUUUAAGCUUUGGUAUUUCUUGGUUUCUGUUUUUUAUUUUUGUUGUUAAUUCCUUAACUCAAGCUAACGGGGUAACCAGAGAGAACGAGAUCGAGAAAGGGCACAAGCCAGAGCAGCCCACAAAGCCAAAGGUUCCAAAGACGAUGGGUUAACCCCUGAGCAACGGCGUGAAAGAGAUGCAAAGGCAUUGCAAGAUAAGUUGGCCAAGAAAGCGGCUCAAGCGACGGUUGGAUCCGAGCGGCAAAGUGGGAUUAAAAACAAGAAAUAACAGUGGGAAGUGAUUAUAGAUUGCAGGAUAAAAGAGAGUGUGAUUAUAUUAAUUGGAUUGGGAAAAUCGUGUCUUUUGUUUUUCAUUUUAACAAACGCUUGGUGUGGAUUUGUUUUAAAGUGAUUUGCAAUGGAAUUUGAUUUCCUCUUUGAA